GCCCCCGUAGUUCAGUGGAUAGAACAACGGUCUUCUAAACCGUGUGUCGGGAGUUCGAUUCUCUCCGGGGGCA
rnacentral:tRNA from 1 species